AUACGGAGGGUGCAAGCGUUGCUCGGAAUCACUGGGCGUAAAGCGCGCGCAGGCGGCUAUUUAAGUUGGAUGUGAAAGCCUACGGCUCAACCGUAGAACUGCAUCCAAAACUAUUUAGCUAGAGUGUGGGAGAGGAAGAUGGAAUUAGUUGUGUAGGGGUAAAAUCCGUAGAGAUAACUAGGAAUACCAAAAGCGAAGGCAAUCUUCUGGAACACUACUGACGCUGAGGCGCGAAAGCGUGGGGAGCAAACGGGAUUAGAAACCCUAGUAGUCC
rnacentral:rRNA from 1 species